CAGAUGCCAUGUUGUGAGGACACUCAAGCAGCCCCAUGGGGAGGCCCCAUGGUGAGAAACUAAAGUCUCCUGAGCAGCUAUGUGAGUGAGUCCAUCUUGGAAGUGGAUCCUCCAGCCUCAGGCCAGCAUCUUGACUGCAAUCUCACAAGAUGCUCUGCCACUGACCUUAUCUCGUGCUUUGCAAGCUGUCUGGUUACUCAGCUGCAUGCCUGGCAGACUCUGAGCUCCUAGAACCCUGAGCCUUGGACUUGGUCAUUUAACUCUGUCCUCAACACAGCAGGCAGACUAAAGGCUCAAAGGGAGUGCAUUGGAUGAAUGAUGGCUGCCCUCUAAUCAAUGAAUGAAUGAAUGAGUGAAUGAGUGAGGGAGAUAUUCUCAGGGUCCUUUAAGUCAAAAGGCACAGACUUAGACUUCAUCUAAAGGUCUUUCUGAAAAGCCAGACCUAGGUCUCACAACGGUGACAUCCAAGGGAAAGAUUACUUUCGCAUAGACAAGGAAAGACUGCCAAACCCCCAGAAUAACAGGCAGGGAAAGGAGUCUUCAAGUCUCCCUGCAAGAAGAGAGGUCACCUUGGGUAACUGCGGGUGGCAAAGCAGAGUUAGAGCAAGGACAACUCCCCAGUGGGUGAGCACCUCACUUUAUAGCUUAGAUUUUCCAACAGUCUUGUGAGGCUUUCAGAGAUGGGAUUAUAGCUCCAUUUUGUUGAAGAGAAAAUUGAGAAUCAGAGAAGGAAAGCAUCCAGCCUGAAGACACACAGGAAGGAAAUAAUCCUUGGAUUUCAAACCAGAUAGUUGUUACAAGACUCUCUAAGGCCCUUCUCAAAAGACUCUUUUGUAUUCCUCCCUGGCCCUGGCCCAGGCCUGCGUGCACCGGAGACUCCCAGGUAGAGGACAGGAAGGAAAAGGAGCAGUUGCUUUCCUGCUGAGGACACUUUCAGUCUAUUCGCAGGGAUCCUAGCAAACUGGGUUCGAAGAGCAAGGUGAAGGGAGGCCUGGGCAAGCUUAUGAAAGAGAAGGGAGAGGACUGAAGAAGCUUCUGGACUACAGAAUUCUACUGAAGGACACCUGGGCCCCUCCCUCCUCUCGGAAGCGAGCCAGGGAUGACCACCUCAGGCCCGAAACUCCCACUCCUUCUUGCUGAGCUCAUUGGGAAUGUUGGGGAGCAAUGUUUGGGGAAGCAGAGUAACGGGAGGGAGAAGGGCAUUCUCUGGACUUCACCAAGUUACAUCCAUUUGUGCCCCAUCUCUAUACUCCUAGUGUACUUUAUGCGGGCCCCUCUUAUGGGUCUUGUCAACCCACCCCAGCCUAAAUUCUAUGAAGUCUUUUCUGGGCUAUCUGACAAUGAAGGAAGGAUUUCUGAAGUUUCUCAGGAAUCGCCCUGUAAAUAUUAAUAAUUGAGAUAAGGAUAAAAGAAGAGAACACUGAAUUGAGAGAAUGCGGAACAGAUGUGCAGUACCUGCUGAGAGAAUGUAAGACACAGAUACAGGGAAAGGGAAGAGAGUCAUACUGCUCAGACAUGAUGGCACCAUGUCUUGGUCAGCACUGGAGAACCCUGGAGAUCUGGGUUCCAGGCCUAUCUUCUGCCAUAUGUCAGCUAUUUGACUUGGGUCUUGGUUUUGCUCCUCUGUAGAGUGGUACAAGGAAGGGAUUGGACCAAAUGAAUUCUGAAGUUCCUUCCAGCUCUGAGGUCUAUGGUUCCAAGAAUGGAUAGAGGUGCCCAG
ensembl:lncRNA